GGACGAACGCUGGCGGCGCGCCUAACACAUGCAAGUCGAGCGGAGAUACUUGAAGGAAGUUUUCGGAUGGAAUUUGAGUAUUUUAGCGGCGGACGGGUGAGUAACGCGUGAGUGACCUGCCUUCCACAGGGGGAUAACGUACCGAAAGGUACACUAAUACCGCAUGAGACCACAGCACUGCCUGGUGCAGGGGUCAAAGGAGCAAUCCGGUGGAAGAUGGACUCGCGUCCGAUUAGAUAGUUGGUGGGGUAACGGCCUACCAAGUCAGCGAUCGGUAGCCGACCUGAGAGGGUGAUCGGCCACAUUGGAACUGAGAGACGGUCCAAACUCCUACGGGAGGCAGCAGUGGGGAAUAUUGGGCAAUGGGGGGAACCCUGACCCAGCAACGCCGCGUGAGGGAAGAAGGUCUUCGGAUUGUAAACCUCUGUUCCUGGAGAAGAGCAGAAGACGGUAUCCAGGGAGGAAGCCCCGGCUAACUACGUGCCAGCAGCCGCGGUAAUACGUAGGGGGCGAGCGUUGUCCGGAAUAAUUGGGCGUAAAGGGCGCGUAGGCGGCUCUGCAAGUCAGUAGUGGAAGUCCCAUUUUCAAGGUGGGGAGGGCUAUUGAAACUGCGGAGCUUGAGUGCAGGAGAGGUUAUCGGAAUUCCCGGUGUAGCGGUGAAAUGCGUAGAGAUCGGGAGGAACACCAGUGGCGAAGGCGGGUAACUGGACUGCAACUGACGCUGAGGCGCGAAAGUGUGGGGAGCAAACAGGAUUAGAUACCCUGGUAGUCCACACUGUAAACGAUGAAUGCUAGGUGUAGGGGGUAUCGACCCCUUCUGUGCCGGAGUAAACACAAUAAGCAUUCCGCCUGGGGAGUACGGUCGCAAGAUUAAAACUCAAAGGAAUUGACGGGGGCCCGCAA
rnacentral:rRNA from 1 species